rnacentral:rRNA from 1 species
CGAGCGGCAGCGCGGGGGCAACCCUGGCGGCGAACGGCGAACGGGUGAGUAAUACAUCGGAACGUGUCCUUUCGUGGGGGAUAACCAGUCGAAAGACUGGCUAAUACCGCAUGAGAUCUCACGAUGAAAGCGAGGGACCGCAAGGCCUCGCGCGAUUGGAGCGGCCGAUGUCGGAUUAGCUAGUUGGCGGGGUAAAAGCCCACCAAGGCGACGAUCCGUAGCUGGUUUGAGAGAACGACCAGCCACACUGGGACUGAGACACGGCCCAGACUCCUACGGGAGGCAGCAGUGGGGAAUUUUGGACAAUGGGCGCAAGCCUGAUCCAGCCAUGCCGCGUGUGUGAAGAAGGCCUUCGGGUUGUAAAGCACUUUCGGCCGGAACGAAAUCGCCUUUGUUAAUAGCGAGGGUGGAUGACGGUACCGGAAGAAGAAGCACCGGCUAACUACGUGCCAGCAGCCGCGGUAAUACGUAGGGUGCGAGCGUUAAUCGGAAUUACUGGGCGUAAAGGGUGCGCAGGCGGCGUCGCAAGUCAGGCGUGAAAUCCCCGGGCUUAACCUGGGAACUGCACUUGAAACUACGAUGCUCGAGUAUGGCAGAGGGAGGUGGAAUUCCACGUGUAGCGGUGAAAUGCGUAGAGAUGUGGAGGAACACCGAUGGCGAAGGCAGCCUCCUGGGCCAAUACUGACGCUCAUGCACGAAA